rnacentral:misc_RNA from 1 species
GCGGUAGCAAUACUGCCCUAGAGUGGCGAACGGGUGAGUAAGACGUAGGUGAUCUGCCUCUGGAUGGGGGAUAGCCCGUGGAAACACGGGGUAAUACCGCAUGAGGCCCUUGGUGUAAAGGCCCGGAGUGAAAGGUGCAACUGCACCGUCUGGGGAUGAGCCUGCGGUCCAUUAGGUAGUUGUUUUUUUUUUGGCCUACCAAGCAAGCAGAUGGAUAGCCGGCCUGAGAGGGUGUACGGCCACACUUUAAUCCCAUCACGGGGUAGUAUCNUANGGGNUGA